rnacentral:lncRNA from 1 species
GUUCAGUAUGAGGAAAAAAGUUUUUCUUCCUGUACUUGUUUAUAGUUUUGAUAAGAAUUAUUGAUAUGAUAUCAUUUGGAACGAAAAAAAUAACCCAGUAAACUAUGCAGCCAUGGAUUAUGUUUCCCAUUCUCCCUUAAAACACCCAUUUUUUACCAGCAGUUAUCACAUUAUACAAACUAAUUGCAUGUCAUUAAUACUCAGUAAUUUUAAACCGAUAGUUAGCACCAAUUACACGAAUUUUAAACCUCAAGGUUGGUACACAAAUAACGUUCGAAACUGUUCCCCUUCGGGAGUUUUACCUUGUUCGGUCUCAACAGUUCUCAUGAACUGUUGCGACUUUGUUUUUUCUUCUUGUUGUGCCAUUCACUGCAUAUUGUAAUUUUGGCACAAUAAGAUGUACGAUAUUUAUUCUUUUACCAAACGUAGCGUGUGGCAAACGAUUGUAUUCAAGUUUAUAUCAGAUUGCAGAAGCAUAAUAUGCUCGAACACGCUUUAUAAAGCGAAGUCAUUGCCCCGCAUAACGCGGCAAGACCUUAUUAACAUUAUUUAUUCGUUCGUAGAAUUUUUUUUUCUUUUUGUAUUAAUGAGCGCAUUGUGAAAACAGUUCGUAUAGUUUUGUAGACGUAAAGAACACGUCCUCUAUAAUCUAUAAAGCUAAUAGAUAUAAUUAAGCUGUGGUGCAACGAGCUGUUUCUGUGGCGUAAAAAGUCAAUGAGAACUUAUUUUUAAGUUUAUUGCUGUUCAAAGUUGCAAAUUUUUUUUUUUUUUUUGGUUUCCUGCGAUAACGGCCUUCUAUUUAUAGAUUUUUAUGGAAAAAAUUUUAGUUUCGGCCUUUAUAAACACUGUGUUAGUUUUAAAGCAGUCUUAUUAGGUAAUGGCAGCUAAUAAGCACGAAACGUUUCCUCAUCUAUGAGUCAGAAAAACUGGAUUGCUCUCUUCCUUUCGUUCCCUUCCAAAGGUGAAGCUAUCUGAAAUUUCCCCGAAUUGUGAAGUAUGCCCGUUAUGUAUUUUUUUUUUUCCUGCGUAUAUAUGAUAUGAUAUGUGUUUAGCGCGUAAAAUGACACUUAAAAACACUGGCAUGGAAAAGCGUCCAAGAACAAUUGGUCAUCCCGCCUUCCACAUCAAAUGUAAUUGAAAGUAGCAUUUAAUUCGCCGCUACAUCUUAUUUUGAACCGAAAAUGACGUACAGGAAAUUACUCUGGGGGUAAGUUUGUGCGUGGGCGUCAAAUUACAUCCCCAUCUUCCUUCCCCAGCACGUGUUGGGCCGUUGACCCAGACUGCACAUCAUUGUCUGAAGAAAAUAUAGUAGUUGCGUUUUUUUUCUUCUUUCUUUCUACGGAUCAUUGUGUUUAAAGGUCAAUUUAGUAACGUCUCUUCUCUUACACCAAGACAGCAUUCGUGUGCGUAAGCGUAGACGAAUUUCCGAAAGUUUAAAUGGCUCAGAAACCUUGGAGAAAUUUUUAAAUGGCGACUUUUUAUAGCGUUUACGCGUAACCGACUUGAAUUCGGGGCAGUAGAUGAUGCCAACCGGAAACCGUGCGUCAUGUAAUGAAUAUUUCAAGUGGUGUUUAGCAGUUUAUCAUUAAAAAAAAACGUUUUUUUAGUAAAUCUGUAGCGUGAAGAGGACCCACAACUUAGCGGUUAAUUAGUGGAACUCGUAUACACGAACCAGUGGUGCGGUAUCUCCAAAUUAAGGAUGUUACUCAGCAAACGAGAUGCCAUUUGUUACGGAGUUUUUCAACAACACUAUGCUAUUAAUAAUGUUUUUAUUAAUUUGAAAACGUCUGGAAUCAUUAAUAAGUCUAAAGUGGCGUCACCGCUACGUUUGCGUGACGUCUCUGUUCCAUUUUCAUUUUAAUCGCGACCGAUUUCCAUUUAUCACUCGUUCUUGUAAAAAAAAAACAGAAAAGAAAUUCGAUAUACUUAAUAUAGGCGCACAAAGGGAAGAAAAAAUGAAGUGCUGUUUUUUUAUAAACUGCUAUUUUAAAGAUGUUACUUAGCUGGCAAAAAAAAUACGCGUGUAUAAGGAAAGCGAUAUUCCCGUAGCUGUUGUAGGUAUAUGUUGAUAACCUUGAUAGGAGGGUGUCUCUUAAUCAGGGCCACAAGGGCUGAUGCCUCCCACACACAAAAUGACCUUGUGGAUAUUUUGCUAACUUCUCCAUCAACAACUAUUUUUUUCUUAUUUUUUUUCCGCUCCUCCUACCGACGUGUUAAACGAAGACAGUCCACCUGGCAAAUUACACGAAAUGGCCAUUGUUUAUUAUGUUAUUUUUAGCGACUCGGGGCGUGUCGGUGCACGAACGUUUAGGAAAUUUUUACAGGAAUUCUUUAAUGUGUGUAGAUUAAAGGAAUUUUCUCCUGUCUCGCUCUGAUGUUUGAUCGCUUCCUGUUCCAUUGGUAUAACUAGACAGUGAGUCGGGGAAGAGUAAUUGAACAAUAAGUGCUUGUGUGUGUGGUUCCAUGGGAAUUGUGUCACACCCCGGCCCGUACAGAAGGACCUUGAAACAUCGCCUUCUAUCACAACUGUGGGUGGCAACAGAUAGGACGGAAUUUGUUAGAAAUCUCACAAACUUGUCAACGUUCGAUGACGUACUAUCGGGGAGUUUCGUUGCACCACUCUCACGAGUGACACUGUUGUUAAUAUAGAUCAUCUACUGACUGCUUUCGUACCAUUUUUCAUUCUUUGCUAUUCUAAACGGUAUCUUUAGUAAGUUUUGCGAGUGUUACGUGAAAGUAAACACCCAACACGCCUAAAAUUAUUCAUCUCUCGUCAGACUUAACAUAAUACAGUACUGUUUGCCUAUUAAGUAACUUUUGACUGAUAUAAAUUAACUUGGUAAUAUUAAAAGAAAAAAAAAAAACUUAUUUAAGAUGAUAGUUAAUAUUGUUUACUAACUCUCGCUGCGUAUCGAAACCGUAUCCAGUUACCAGAAACUACUCUGGAUAUUUUUAUGUGCCGAACUCGACCUCUUAACGAUUAACACCACCCAACGCGAUUGUAUACGUUUUAGAACCCUUAGGCAAUAAAAAAAAACAGGUGGAAGACUCUUAAACUUAAAAAAAAAAAGGCGUUUCUAGAAUUAGCUAUCCAGUUAUUUAUCGCGCAUUUUAACAUUGUCGGAUUAACUGUAAUACGUCAACGAAACGUAAACUUAUGGUUGGCAACGCGUAGCUACAUGUUGGCUUUUUUUUUUUUUUUCCUUCAGGUAUUCUUUUCUUAGUUGUAUUCGUUGGCAUCGAUGAUGCAAAAGAAGCGAAACCAGGUCAGACGUUUAAUUUAUCCUUCAGUUUAGUCUGUUGGGGAGCGUGUCCUUGCCUUUAGUUGAAUAGUCUUUAGCGAGAUGGUGAUGGUGACAAUGUCCUUGUUGCGUAGAUAACGUUACUACGGCAAAAGAAUAUUUGUGAGAUGAAAGCCAAGACAUUUACAUAUCGAAUAAAUUUUACUUUACUUUAUUGCCGCAUAUUUGGGUCUGAGACGAUAAUUUUUCUGCCAGUUUGUUUUGAUGGUUACCAGUUUUUUUUUGGAUAUUUUUAAAAUUCCAAAUCAGCGAUUCUGUAAGUUUCUUUGUGAUGGUUAAAGGCUUGGUGAACGUGUUGAAUAUGGAAGCUUAUCUUCUCUUUUUUAUGGAAGUAUUUUUUUUUUUUCCUGUGGCCUCGUUGUGUAUUUUUAUUCUAGACUUUCCUAUUUCUUUCUCUAAUGGUUCGUCAGAUGCGUGUUUUUGUAUAUGUUUCUGCUGAUUUAUGGCGUAAUUUUGGGGCCAUCACACUCUGUGUGUGUAAUACAUGAAUCUGGCUUCAUUUUUUAUUAUUAUUAACCGUUUGCAAUAAUUCUAUUUUAAGUCUGCGUAUAUUUUGCAUUGUUAACUUUCGG